GGAUCAAGUUGAAUAUCGCAUUGACAAUACAUAAAGUCACUACCUUGUUGGCAACAUGUGGUCAAAAGGAUCUUACAGUGUUUACUAUUACAAGGAAUGCCUACAUCCUCAAGGUUGAAUUUUGCUCGAACAUCAUCGAAAAUUACUAGAAUUUUACGCAUACGUUUUAUUGUUGAGACUAUUUUUCGGCUCUUCCAGCAUCACUGUUUUUAUGAAAUUUAAUUUUCAACGAGUCAGCAAUUUCAUCUUGCAUUGUUCUGAUAUUUGAAUUUUGGGUCACCUUGACAAAUAAAACCUUAAGGCCACUAAUAUCCUUAAGUUUUUCAGUGACUGCUUUCACCAAUGUUGUUUUACCUGAGCCUGACCUACCAUACAAUCCAAUCAAAGAGCACUUAUGAACUUGCAGUGCCACUAAAAGUUGACUCAAUGCCUUCUCUCUAGAAUUAAAACACACAAAUUGUGACCCAAUAUUUUCAUAAAAGGACUCUAAACUUAAUGGGAAAAACCUACAAAAGUUAUACUGGUGUGCCAUUAAUUUUCUCAGCAAUUUGUUACAUUCUUUCUUUUGUUGUGGUGUUUCUGUUUGUGUAUUAAUAUUCUCCACCUCUUGUAUUAGUAUCUCUGUUUCAUUUUGCCACACAAACACUUCAUCGUUGACCAUUUUAGUUUCAUCAUCAUCAGUUGCUUCAACUGUAACACGUAAACUAUCUCUUAAUGAAAUCAGAUUCUCCUUUUCUUUUUUGACACCCGCUGGUAUGUCCUCCAGAACAAAUUUAGCUAUUCCUAUUGAUAUAUUAACUUUAAAUAAAAAAAAAUAAAAAAGUUAUGAUUUUAAUUAUUUUGAGCAUUAUAUUAUGUGAAACAUAUAAAGAAGAGAAUUGAAGAAAAAAAAAGGAAAUUGAACUCACGCAUUCCUUUCUCGAAGAAGUUGAGCUUUUUCAUAUUGUUGCAGUUGCAGGCAGAAAAUUAAGAAUGAGUGGAGUUUGGAUGAUUGUCUCUUAGCUUAGCUUCAAAAAAAUGUGAUGUGUAUAUAUAUACACACUGUAGAAAUUAUAGUUAUAGUUAUAAUAAUAAUGAAGUGAUAAUUUCAUACGAAGCUUCUUUAUUCAACUUCCAGCUCACCAAAAUUGAAAGCAAAAAUUGAAAAAAAAAUUAUUGAAAGAAAAAAAUAGAAAAUGGUAAACAGCGUCCCCGAAACGCUAGAUAAGGUUAUUAAUAUAAAAAUUUUAUUUUGUAAUUUGUGGAUUAAAUGUCUUAAAAGAGGUACAGAGUUAACAUGAGGAAAAAAAGGGACAUGGUAAACAGUGCACACGGGGUACUUGUUAAGCAUACCUAAAAAGGAAAUAAAAAAUAAAAAUUAUAUUGAAAAGACAAUUUUUGUACUUUGAAACAUUGAAUACACACAUUUCAAAACAUAAUUUCUAUUUUAACAUGUUUAAUCAGUACCCCGAGUCACUGUUUAGCAUGACCAUUUUUUUCCUCGGCCGUACACAUCACUGCGAGAUGUUUAAAAUACUAGCUACCACAUGUUAAUCCAAUGGACUAGCUACCACUCAUGUUAUAGUUAUCAACUUAUCAUGUACGCGGAAAGAUCCUUUCCAGAACAAUUUCAGCCCUUAAUUUUAUUAUUCCUCUAAUGGAUAUAUAGUUUAUUACAUGAGGGAAUCCAAAUCCAUAUACAUGAAGUAAGUAGUAUCCUAGAAAAAUCACCAAUGUUGACCAUAAGUUGGUGAAACAAAAAGAGUUCUACAAGCAUUGACGAAAAAAGUCAAGAAACGAUAGUCAACAAAAACAAAAUAAGAAAACUACAAAAUGGUGGUAAUAGAUUGAAUUUUUUAUCACAAGUAAAAAAUUUAAUUAAUAUAUUGAAUUUGAAUCAUCCAUUUAAUUAAAUUGAUGGAUCUAAUUCAUCCACCUUAGUUUUAAAAUUUAAUGGAUAAUUGUUAUUAUUAAUUUUAAAUCUAAUAUUGGAUAGUGUGUUGUGAGGUAGCUGUUAUCAUUAACUUUAUUUUUUUUUUCUUUAGUAAUCUACUGGUUUUUAAAAUUAUGGAUUUGAAUUCAGUCUCUCUUAUUGUUGUCUCUUAGUCUUAGUAAUUAACAACUGAAGUACUUUUAUGGGACUCGUUAUCAUUAACUUUUACUUUAUUUAUUUAUUUAUUUUAUAAGUAGUGUUUUUGUUGUAUUUUGGUUGUGUAAUUUAGGUUAGUUGUGAGUUAGUUAAGUCUUAGCUAGAAGUUAGUUAGAAAGUUAAGAGUUAGUUGUGUUUUAGUUAGUUACUUGUGUUCUAAGAAACUGUGUAUACAAUCACUUGUAACAUUUUAAUGUGAUGUGGCCCAAAAAUGGAUGAUGAAUGAUGACAGUCAAUUAUAUGAUGUUUUUAGUAGUAAUUUAGGGUAGUUUUAAUAGCAAUUGAAGCCCAAAAGCAAGCAAAUACCUGGAAAAGAGAAGUUACUUAGCCCAGAAGCAAGAAAAGUGGAAAAAAAGGGCAAAAACAGUGCAACCAUCGUACCUACGAUGAGAUCCAGCGUGACGCGAUGAGAAGACGGUUUGAAUUGAAGAAAAUCUGCAACAAAUCUUUUCCAUCGUGGCACGAUGAAGGCGAUUGAAGAAAGCAGAAAAUCUGGAGAAGAUCUUCCAUCGUACCACGAUAUGAUCCAUCGUGGCCACGAUGGGUGCGAUGGACGCGCAGAAAAGCCCAAAACCCAGCUGAAAAACUAUAAAUAGAGCCUUCCUCCUUCACUAUUAUUCAUUCCAAAAUAGUGAGAGCUAUUCAAUAUUCACUCUAGAGUUAGGACAACUCUAAGGAGGAGGCAAGGAGGGCCAAGGAACUUCAAGGCCAAUAAAGUUCUUUUCUUUUAUUGUCUUUGUAAUUUAUUUUUCCUAGGUUAGGUGGAGUAAAUGAACUCCCUUACGAAUGCUUGGUAUUGUAUAAUUUGGUGUUAAAUUCAGUUGUUUUUAUAUAAACUCUUUUAUUGUACGGUUUUCAUUCUUUAUUUUAAUCUUGAUCACAUUAGAAUAAACUCUAAGGAAAUUAGCGGGUAUCGGAUCGGAAACAAAGCUAAUUGUCUCGAUCGAAGGACGUACACUAGGAUUCUCCAUGAGACCAUUAAAUUCAGUAUCUGAGGUUUUAGUGUAGGAUUAAAGCUAAUAACAAGAACAAUCAAUUCUACAUGAGUUAGGGUGAAGACUAGUAUAGGCACACGUGACAACUUGUGAAACCAUUGAGCCUUAAGGGUAAGGAUACCUAAGUAUAAGUAACUACGAAAAAGUGGAACCGACUGGGGUGAGGAUAAUUAUAAACAACGUAAAGGCAACCUAUACUAGGCUCUUCUCAGAUUGUAAUAGAAAUAGGCAAAGAGUGCUCCUGAACCUAUUUUAUAUAGACUAAUCAUAACUGAGGGGAACAAGGGAAAUUAGCAACUAACUACCAAGCAAGGGAGAGAUUCAAAAACACUUAACCACCCCGCGUGGACACACACACACCAUUUUAUUAUUAUAGUCAUUUAUUUUUCUGCUAUUUACUUUUACUCGCACAACUAUCUCUAAACAAACAAAGCGAAUGCAAACUAUCUAAAUUCCUAAGCGAAACUAGUAAUUUUGGCAUAAUCCUUGUGGAGAACGAUAACUUAUCACUUUAUUACUUGAUUGCAAUUUUGUGCAUUUGCAGAGCCACCAUCAACGAAUAAAACUCUUUCCUUUCUGUCCCUAAUCUCAUUAAUCAUUUGUUAAGCUUUAUCUUCUUGUUCUUCUUCAUAAAUUCUUCUGCAACCCAAGCUUCGGCGCGAUUCGAGCUAGGGAUGGCAAUAGGUAGGGUAUGGUAGGGUACUAUAGUACUCAUCUCCAUACCCGCAGAUUGAAAAAAUACUCGUACCCAUCCCCAUAUCCGCGUGGGUAACGACUUUUGCCCCCGUCCCCAUACCCUAUGGGUACCUAAGUACCCAUACCCGUUACCCGCAUUUUUACUAAAAAAUAAUUGAUCAAUUAUGAAAUAUCAUAUCAUUUUAAUAGAAUUGAAAAAAUUUCAAAGAUUUUAAUAUUGACUAAUGAAAAUUAUAAACAAAAUUAUUACUAACAUUAUGUUAAAGUUCAUAUUUAUGUAAAAUAUUCACAUUAUUUUUGUAUAAUUAUGUUAUAAAUAAAUAUUUUUAUUAAAAAUAUGUAAUAGUUUAAUAGUGUCAUAUUGUUUUAAAUUGAUUUACAUAUAUUAUUAUAUAAUAAUAUAAAUAAAAUAAAUAAAUAUAUAUUAUGUGGAUAUGAGACAGAGUGGGUACGAAGGUACCCGCACCCGUACCCAUUCAUUUUUGUGUGUAAUUACUCAUACUCGUGCUCGUACCCAAAAUCGGGUAUUUACCCUAUUUAUUGUAAGUAAUUUUUACGGGCACCCUCGGUAUAUAGGAGCAAACCGUGCCUAUCUUGCAGUUUGUAAGUGCUUGUUCUUGCUUAUAGCUUCGCUAAUAGUUUUUAUGUCUACCUUAAAUUAAAUCAAUCAAUUCUAGAGACUCUGAUCAAUGCUGUGAGUCUUGGGCUCCAAAAGCCCAAUUUAUUUGAUUUGACAUAACUAGUUCUUACUAAUUAUAUAAAAGUAAAAUUAUUAUAAUUAAUCAGCAAAAUAACAGAAAAUAUUAAUGUUAAUAUUGAAUUCUUAUAAUCAAUAGUUUGAACCUAUAAAAUUAGAAGUAAUAAUUAAGGAGAUUGUUUGGAGGAAGAAAAAGAAGUUGGAGUGAUAAAAAGUCAUGACUGAGUUUCAGCAACUAAACAAGUUUAGUUUAGAUCAUUUAAGAUUUGUAGUUUGUCAUGUGCUUGAUUCUGAUCAAAAUUUGAGUGACCUAUAUAAGGUAAUGUGAUAGAAGAUUAAUAUAGUUAAUUAAAUAACUAUUAGGUAGUAGUUUAUUAAAUAAUUUAGGUAUUAAUAGUAUUUAUAUUAUUAGUUGGACUUUACUUAUUGGUAGUUAAUUGGGCCUUUAGGCCCAUCUAAGGUUUUACCCAUUUAGAAUAUUAUAAAUGUAGUGUGUUGAACACAAAUCAAAUCAAUGAAGGAAAAUUAAUGAAUUUAUUUUAUCUUUAUUUUACUUGUUUUCUUUAUUGCUUUUCUAUGUUUAGCUUAGUGUAGCUUGAUAGAGCUUCAACUCUCUAUCAUAAUGUGGUAAUGAUUUUCGAAUAUAUACAUAGUACUGUCCAAAAAAAUUAGACAAUAAAGAAACUGAAAAAAUUCAUCUAGCUUUUGGCAACUUUUUUUAACAAAGAAUGACAUUAAGAUUGUUCAUAGAGAAACAACUAAUGUUCAUACAAAACACUAGAAAGACCGGCAAUUUAGAGCAUUCCAAAACCCUUUGACAUGCUAAACAAAUUGCAAUAUGGUUGACAUCUUUCGAGUCCAUAUCUAUAUGCUUCGUAUUUGCAAACGACUUUUAAUUUGAUUAACAUCUUCCACAAUCUUUUGAAUAAAUUCAUGUUCGUACCUGCAACUAUUGUCUACAUGUUUCUAGCUAUAUCUUGAUAAUGUUUUGAGAUUAUUGUUCAAUUUCAACAUUAUGAAUAUAUUAUUCUCUAUAUGUGUGUAAUCCGGACUAUAGAUCCGCCCCUUCCUCAAAUAUAUUAUAAGAUUUUGGUUUUCUUAAAAUAUGUACAGACUCCUUUUAGCUAUUGCAGAAAAAGAAUUGGUAAAUCUUUCAUUAUCUUUCACCCUUAUAUUUAAAUGUUUUCUCAUUAGAUCUCAUGGUUCUUUUCUCCCUAAAUUUUACUUUUUUGUAUUUCAAUAAAAACUUCGGUUGCUAUGAAUCGAAUUUUUUAUGUCUUGAAAAAAUUUUCGGUUUCUGUUAAUCGAAUUUUCCUUGAAUUUGAACUAGAAAAAACUUCGGUUUCUGCCAACCGAAAUUUUUAUCAAGGGCAAAAUUGAAAUAUUUUGGGUAUAAAAGAUACACGGGAGGCCUAGAGAGAAAACAUCUUAUAUCCAUUCCCCUAUCCUCUUUUUUUUGGAUAAAUGAUUGUUUACCUCCCGUAAAGUUAGCGAAAUUUGAUUUACGUUAUGCGUAAUUUUUUUCUGUUUACCACCUACAAUAUGAAGAUUCUCUCAUUUUGCACCCCAAGUGAACAAUUGGACAGCUGACUGUGCAUUUGCGAUGACGUGACAUGCACACAUGAAACAAUAUUAAUUUAUAUUUAUUUUUAAUUCCACUUAAGCUAAUUUUAAUUUUUUUUAAAAAAAUAAUAUUUAUUUUUUUAAAAAAAAAUUCUUAAAACUUUAUCAUUCUAUAUAACAAUAUUUUCAUGUAUUUAUUUCUCUAGAGAAUAUAAUUAUUUUUGAAAACUUCAAAGUUGAAGUACCGACUUAUUUACCAACCCUCUAAAUCGUGAUCAUAACGUCUAACAAAGAUGUGUUGUUAUAAAAGAUUAAAAUCAACUUAUAUUGAGAUCAAAUGUGGUAAUGAUGUUCGAAUAGAUAAACAGUUGCUUUUGGCAAUUUUUUUUAACAAAGAAUGAAAUUAAGAUUGGUCAUAGAGAAACAACUUAUGUUCAUACAAAACACUAGAAAGGACAGUACCUGGAUUCCCUACAGUAAAUUUUUAACACAGUUUUCUGCUGUAGUUAAUCUGGAUCAUUCAUUUAUGAUCGGACGGUACACAUUUCAAACACAGUUUUCUAAAUUAAACAAUCUGAACCGUCAAUUCAGAUCGGACGGUGCAUAUCUGUUACAGCAGGGUGCUGUUACAGCAUCAAAUCCGUUUCCGAAAGGACAAGCUAAACAAAUUGCAAUAUGGUUGACAUCUUUCGAGUCCAUAACUAUAUGCUUCGUAUUUGCAAACGACUUUUAAUUUGAUCGGCAUCUUCCACGAUCUUUUGAAUAAAUUCAUGUUCGUACCUGCAAAAGUAUGUACAAGAUCUUUCAUGACUCAGUAAUGCAAAUAGUUUUGAAUUUAUUUAGUCAAAAAAACAUAUAUAUAUAUAUAUAUAUAUAUAUAUAUAUAUAUAUAUAUAUAUAAAGUUUAAAAUGACUAUCAAAUUAUCACAAGAACAAGCUUUCACAUAACUUAAACUAUAAAAUAUUCCAUGUCUAAAUUUCUUGUUAGUCAAAUGAUACGUUUAAAUUGAUGGCGCUAUAAAGAAGGCCAUAUUUCUUUUUUAACAAUUCACAUACCUUUAAAAGAAUGGAAUUAUACUAUAUCAUAUUUUUAGCAACCAUCACUAGUAGAUUAAAAUUUGGUUAUUAUGGAAUAAUGCAAAUAAAAGUCUUUUGAAGAAUAUUACAUACCCGGUUUUAUAAGUCUUUCCGGACAAAUUAGACACUUCAAACAAAGCUGACUUCCAUUUUUGUACUCUCUCUGAAUUAAUUCCGUAAUUAUUUUCAUGCUGAGCCAUGUCUUUGCCAUAAGAUUUUCUCAGAUGCCUUAUGUCUGAUGGCUCCACUUUGUAAAAGAUUGGCCAAACUGAUUGCUUCUUCAAUUUCAUACACUCCAUAAUCUUGACAAGUUCUUCAAGACACCAUGACGAAUUUGCAUAGUUUUCAGAUAAAACAAUAAUUGAAAGUCUUGAUGCUUCAAUUGCAUUUAGAAGAGAGGGUGAGAUUUGGUCUCCGGUUUGUAGUCCUCCAUCAUCCAUGAAGGUCUUGAAUCCCCCUUGACAUAAAUCUUUAUAAAGAUUCCCUGUAAAACCGUAGCGUGUAUCAUCUCCUCUAAAACUGAGGAAAAUUUGCCAUUUGGCCAUCGAAUGUUUCAGACUAUCUAGUGUUGCUUUCCAUUCUUCAAUUGGUUUACUUUUUAAGGAACAUCCCACAUCUUUAAUUUUUCCGGGUAACCCUUCACAUUCAAAAGCAACUUCGCGUGCCAUAUUCGAUAAGUCAUAUGAGGAGGAGUACUCCUGAUCGUCAAUACCUGAAUGUUUUUGGAACAAAGUCCAAGAUUCCUCUGUAGAUAACGGACCAAGUUGAAUAUCGCAUUGACAAUACAUAAAGUCGCUACCUUGUUGGCAACAUGUGGUCAAAAGGAUCUUACAGUGUUCACUAUUACAAGGAAUGCCUACAUCCUCAGGGUUGAAUUUUGCUGGAACAUCAUCGAAAAUCACUAGAAUUUUAUACAUACGUUCUAUUGUUGAGAAUAUUAUUCUGGCUCUUCCAGCUUCACUGAUUUUAUCAAAUUUAAUAUUCAACGAGUCAGCAAUUUCAUCUUGCAUUGUUCUGAUAUUUGAAUUUUCG
rnacentral:lncRNA from 1 species